ACGGGUGAGUAAUGUCUGGGGAUCUGCCCGAUAGAGGGGGAUAACCACUGGAAACGGUGGCUAAUACCGCAUAACGUCGCAAGACCAAAGAGGGGGACCUUCGGGCCUCUCACUAUCGGAUGAACCCAGAUGGGAUUAGCUAGUAGGCGGGGUAAUGGCCCACCUAGGCGACGAUCCCUAGCUGGUCUGAGAGGAUGACCAGCCACACUGGAACUGAGACACGGUCCAGACUCCUACGGGAGGCAGCAGUGGGGAAUAUUGCACAAUGGGCGCAAGCCUGAUGCAGCCAUGCCGCGUGUAUGAAGAAGGCCUUCGGGUUGUAAAGUACUUUCAGCGGGGAGGAAGGCGGUGAGGUUAAUAACCUUGCCGAUUGACGUUACCCGCAGAAGAAGCACCGGCUAACUCCGUGCCAGCAGCCGCGGUAAUACGGAGGGUGCAAGCGUUAAUCGGAAUUACUGGGCGUAAAGCGCACGCAGGCGGUCUGUUAAGUCAGAUGUGAAAUCCCCGGGCUUAACCUGGGAACUGCAUUUGAAACUGGCAGGCUUGAGUCUCGUAGAGGGGGGUAGAAUUCCAGGUGUAGCG
rnacentral:rRNA from 1 species